AGGUUCAUUCCCACCCCCCAAGGAUGUUGGGCGUCUUUUUUCUGACACAAUAUACGUAGUUCUUUUUUUUCCAACGCUAAUGAAUUCUCUAACUCGAAAGGUGUUCAACGAUUCAAUUCUGAGACUAACUGCUUAGAAUUCUAGAAGACUCCACAGGUCAAGGGCCCGGUGCCACAAGACUGUUUUCACUUCAGAUGCCUGCUGUGGGCUGUGCACAUUUCUGCUCAGCUGACUACAACCACCCGCCCCUCAGGCUAGAGAAUUCUCUAGAACUCAGGAGAAGACUUUAUAUGCGUCAGCUUGCUGUAAAGGAUAUAACUCAGGAACGACCAGACGAAAACCGGGCAGCGUUUGGGAGUGGGGGCAGUGUACAGAGGUCCCACGCAUCUGCCCGGCGUGCUGCCUCUCAGCACAACGUGUUCAACAGCCCAGAACCUCUCCCAGCCGUUAAAGACGGGCGGGCACACGUGCACACACACAGUGGCUUCCAGAAGACACAGCAACGAGAACAAUCACGGCAGAACACAAUGUGUUUCCAGAAAUCACCCUUUCCCCAUCCCCAUUAAAUGUCUCUAGAAGGAUACACAACAUGUCAGCAACUGUGGUGUCCGAGGAGGGGCCUCAUGUGAGGCAGAGGCUCUUUUUUUUUUUCGUCUGUUUAUGGCCGCACACGUGACCUGUGGGAGUUCCUAGGCCAGGGAAUGAAUCCUACCUGCGCUGUGCAAGACCUACGCUGCAGCUGCAGCAAUGGUGGAUCCUUUAACACACUGCGCUGGGCCAGGGAUUGAACCUGCACCUCCACAGCAACCGGAGCCACUGCAUUCACAUUCUUAACCCAGUCAGUUCCAUGGCUGGAACUCCUGCUUUCCUGCUUUUUAAUUCUUUACCACUUUCAUGGACUGCGUUUUCAACUAAAGUAAAAAUAUUUGGUUCCAAGCAGAGAACUACAAACCCAGACACAGGCAUGUGAAAGCUCUCAGAUGACAAAUGGCAGGAACACAGCAGAGUGAGCCUUAGCGAUACAGGAGGCUCUGCCGGCCAUCUAUUGGGCAUCUCAUAGCAUAAGUGCAGCCCGACCCUGGGUGCCAGGGAAAUGCCAGCUCUCCACCCUGUCUGUCUCUAUAAGGCCACACGCCCAUCUCUGCUCCUCACCAUCUCUGUGUUCUUACCCUGCCCGUGGUAGGAAGCAGCACCAGGUGGAGCAGCCUCAGCCCCCAGGAUGACCUGUGCUCGCUAGUCUAGUAGGCACAGCUGACUCUGAGGAUCUCGGAGUCCAGUUACACAUCUGGGAGAGAAGUGCCCACACUGGGGCCCCAGCUCCCCUGGGAGGAAGUUCAGACCCAAGAUUGCUGCUCCUCCAGCAUAAGAAUCCAACUGGGGCCCUGGUCAUGACCCUGCCACGGGGCCCCCCAGGCAACUUGAUCACGUGGAGCACAUAUCAUUCUUCAUGGGACCUCCAGGGAGGCCACACCUCACCAGAAGUCUUGCUCUGGACAUGGUGGCUCAGUCCCCCGGGAGCAGCACGUAGCUGACUUGGGUUCAGCUGGGGCAGGAGCCGUGGGUGAGGAGGAGACACUGUGGCAUAAGGCCCGGACAGGACCAGGCUCUCCCGACUGCUGUGGGAUGGACGUGGACCAUGGCGGAGGGAGCACUGGGCCACAUCUUCCUUCUCGUCUCAGCAUGUGCCACUACGCUGGGCUGCACCUGCCCGAGAGCUGGUCUUCUCGGUGCCUGGCGCCCCACCUCCGCUCAGGUCCGCAUCCACACACGCUGUGGGUCAUCCUCAGCUGCCAUCACCCACAUCCCGGAGAGGCGAGGCCUCGCUCGGGCAGCUCCUCUGGGGGACCUCCAGCCCAUCAGAACAUCAACCACAUCAUCAACCACAAAAACGCCAAAGGCAAGAGCAGCAAUAACAAGAGGCGGUACAGGGAGUUCCCAUCGUGGCUCAGUGGUUACGAACCUGACUAGGAACCAUGAGGGUUUUCUAGAUGCAUUACACACACACCCUCUAUAACCUCAAGUCUCUUGGUCAAGGGUCAGCUCCUUCCUGUGGUCCACACAGGGAUGGUCCUUUUUCACUCACUGAGCAAAUAUUUUUUUUCUUUUAGGGCCGCACCCAUGGCAUAUGGAAGUUUCCAGGCUAGGGGUCAAAUAGGAGCUGUAGCUACGAGCCUACACCAUAGCCUUAGCAACUCAGGAUCUGGGCCGCAUCUGUGACUUACACCACAGCUCAAGGCAAGAUCAGAUCCUCAACCCAAUGAGCAAGGCCAGGGAUCGAACCCACUUCCUCAUGGAUGCUAGUCUGCUUUGUUUCCACUGAGCCACAAUGGGAAAUCCCUCACUGAGCAAACGUUUUACUGAACACCUAUUAUGUGCAAAGCAGGGCCGAUUCAGUAACAGAUGCACGCCACAGCCACUAGGUGGAGGCAGACCUCCACCCACUGGAGAUGGCACCCUAGUAGGGAAGACGCAAAGGAUAAAAUGCAAAAUCUCUCACUAUCAAACACUACUGCCAACUCAGAAAGCACACAGAUCUGGGUCACUUUUUGGAGCUAGGGCUGGUGGCCCUGGUGGCCUCAAUCUCCACCCACUGUCUAUAACUCAGAAACGAACCAGAUUCAGGGAGCACACUGCCUAAGAAAGGAGGCAGGGCUCUGAUUUUCACCUGUAGUCCUGCAGCAAAGAGCUGGUGACCAGCAGUCCCAGCCUCUGGAGGAUUCUGGCUGUUGUGAAACCAGGGAAGCCAUGGGGGACUUGGAACAGAGAUGGGACAUGAAGCGACGCAUGACCUGACAGGCUCCUACUGGGGAGCUCCUGGUGGGAGGUCAGAGGAGCAGGGAGGAGGUGCCCUUAGAGGGAGAGGGGUGGUGAAGUGGCUGAAUUCUGGAAAUAUUUUGAAGGUACAGUCAUGGGAUUUUCAGGCAGAGAUGAGAGAAACACCAAGGUGGGCUGAGGAAUGCGGGCAGAAGAAGGACUGAAGAGCUUCCGCUGAGGCCCCCAGGGUCGGAGGUGUCUGUCUCAGGGGCUGGGGGUGGUGAGGGUGGAAGGCAGUUUCAAGGUAUUAGCGGCCUGUGGGGAAGGAUAGUUCAGUGCAUGGCCGGGGUCUGGGGGUGAAGGAAAGUUCGCAGUGGGCCUAGCAGACCCGAUCUUUGUUAGGGGAAAUGGGGGGGGGGGGCAGGAACAGGGUUGUUGUACAGGAAGCUGGGAAAGAGGGGGAAACAUCCCUGGGAGUGGGACAAGGGAACGGAAGAGGAUGUCCAGGCCCAAGCUUGGCAUCGGGGAGGAGAGGAGAGGGGAGGGCGGGUGCACCUGCGCACGGAGGAGGGGGGUGCGCACCUGAGCAGGUGAGGACGGCCAGGACCUGUUCCUGAGGAGGUUGGGAGUCGCGCCCAAAGGGAGGGAGAAAGAAGGGGGACCCGCUCAUGCCGGAAGAGAAAGGAAGAGAAAAGAUAAAGGAGAGGGAUACGGGGGUCUGAGCCUCACAGUGACGAGGGGAGAUUGGGGGGCCCGCACCUCACAGGAGGGCAGCAUAGGGCUCCGCGUACCUCACAGUAGGAGAGACUGGGGGAUCCACGCAACUAACAGGAGGACAGAAUGGGGGAUCCACGCACCUCACAGGAGGUCAGAGUAGGGGGUCCACGCACUUGGGCAAAGAUGUACCUGCGCCCCCGGCCUGCCCGAGACCCUGCCGUCAUCCUCGCCCACCCGCUCUCGCCCAGCCCGGAAGCGGCCGCCCCGAAGCUUCCAGCGCCCUGCACUCCCCGACGCACCCCGCGGCCAGGCCUAGUCCCCGCUCGCCGCCCGAGAAGCCCCUGAAGGAAACUCACUCGCCCGGCGCCACCAGGUCCACCACCGCGCGUCGCCGGGCUGCGCUCUUCCGGGAGC
rnacentral:lncRNA from 1 species